AGAGUUUGAUCAUGGCUCAGAACGAACGCUGGCGGCAUGCCUAACACAUGCAAGUCGAACGAAGCCUUCGGGCUUAGUGGCGCACGGGUGCGUAACGCGUGGGAAUCUGCCCUUAGGUACGGAAUAACUCAGGGAAACUUGAGCUAAUACCGUAUAAUGACUCCGGUCCAAAGAUUUAUCGCCUAGGGAUGAGCCCGCGUCGGAUUAGCUAGUUGGUGAGGUAAAAGCUCACCAAGGCGACGAUCCGUAGCUGGUCUGAGAGGAUGAUCAGCCACACUGGGACUGAGACACGGCCCAGACUCCUACGGGAGGCAGCAGUGGGGAAUAUUGGACAAUGGGCGAAAGCCUGAUCCAGCAAUGCCGCGUGAGUGAUGAAGGCCUUAGGGUUGUAAAGCUCUUUUACCCGGGAUGAUAAUGACAGUACCGGGAGAAUAAGCCCCGGCUAACUCCGUGCCAGCAGCCGCGGUAAUACGGAGGGGGCUAGCGUUGUUCGGAAUUACUGGGCGUAAAGCGCACGUAGGCGGCUUUGUAAGUUAGAGGUGAAAGCCCGGGGCUCAACUCCGGAAUUGCCUUUAAGACUGCAUCGCUAGAAUUGUGGAGAGGUAAGUGGAAUUCCGAGUGUAGAGGUGAAAUUCGUAGAUAUUCGGAAGAACACCAGUGGCGAAGGCGACUUACUGGAUACAUAUUGACGCUGAGGUGCGAAAGCGUGGGGAGCAACCAGGAUUAGAUACCCUAGUAGUCC
rnacentral:rRNA from 1 species